GACAGCGAAUGCAUGUUGUGAGUGUGUGAGUCUUUCAUUUUCGUCUUUAUCGUAUUUAUCUCGUUUAUUGUAUUUUCCUUCGAUUCCACGAACCCUCCUCUGCUCCGGGCCCGAGAAAGAGGCGCGUGAUCGUGAUGGCAUGAUGGCUUCAGGCAAGGACCGUCGCGGCUACGAACACGAGUCCUCAAGUGACACCGACAACCCGGACUCCGACGACCGCCGUCCAAGACCCUACCGGAACCGCUUCGGGUAAGUGUGAAACCUGAACACCUUGAAAGCGUGCAGAGGUGCAGUUGGAGGCGUGCAGGUAAGUGCCGGAAGUAGACAGAUAUUUGAAAGGAAGGUUAUAGAUUAUGGACGAGUAGAUUCGGAGAUAUUUGAAAGGAAGGAUAUAGAUUAUGGAGAUACUUGAAAGGAACGAUAUAGAUUAUGGACGAGUAGAUUCGGAGAGUUUUGACGUAAAAGCAUAGGCCCGCGGUAUUUUUUACGUAACGCUUUUGUUGUUACCCGUGGUGUUUCGACUCCUAUUGUCGUCAAAUAUAUUCAGUACAUUUGCAUAUCUCUGCACUUUUUACUUGAUUUCUUCAAUUCGAGUCUCUCCUUCGAUUUCUGUGUAGUUCCACUCUUGUAAUUAAAUCCCCCCCUUCAACCCCCACCCGCCUUCUCACCCGUCUUUCCCCGCGCGAGGCUGUACAAUUUUCACAUGCUACAAGCACAUUCUCGUUGUAGGCUUUCGGGAUGUGAAUAUCAAGUGCCGUCGUCCCGCGCGG